UUGCAAUUCCACUAAUGACAUAAAUCCUCUUGGACCAGUUAAGAUUUAUGUUGCUUCCAUCGUCUAAGUCAAGAUAUCAGUACAGGUUUCCAUUUAGGUCAAAAUCAUAUAUGAGAAAACAUUCACCCUUGCUAGUCCUUGAGCAACAGAAACCUCUAAACCUAACAAGGUUUUCAUAUCUCAAUGAGUUCAAUAACUUCAAACCCUGCUGCUUGAGGAUGCUAAGAAGGCUUGAUGUGAACUUUAAUGGCUUUCUCUAUAUGUGUGAAAAAAAUCUAGAUUUGGGUUUGUCCCUACUGCUUUCAUAAGAUUAAAUGAAGGAUUCCCAUAUGGUAGAGAUAAGAGAGGGACGAAAAUACGCAGUCGCUUGAGGAGAGAGAGGGGAAAGAAAGGGAGAAAGCAACAUGGAAGAUAUACGGGACAAAACUUGCCUACAGUCAGUUCUAUUUAUCUUUUAUGAAAAAACAUACUUGUCACAGUAUUAUUAGAGGGUAUAAAUCUAUUCUUAACACCCAUCUUGUUUGAAGUUUUUCUCUUUGU